AGUGAACGCUGGCGGUAGGCCCAACACAUGCAAGUCGAACGGCAGCACAGUAAGAGCUUGCUCUUACGGGUGGCGAGUGGUGGACGGGUGAGGAAUACAUCGGAAUCUACUUUUUCGUGGGGGAUAACGUAGGGAAACUUACGCUAAUACCGCAUACGACCUACGGGUGAAAGCAGGGGAUCUUCGGACCUUGCGCGAUUGAAUGAGCCGAUGUCGGAUUAGCUAGUUGGCGGGGUAAAGGCCCACCAAGGCGACGAUCCGUAGCUGGUCUGAGAGGAUGAUCAGCCACACUGGAGCUGAGACACGGUCCAGACUCCUACGGGAGGCAGCAGUGGGGAAUAUUGGACAAUGGGCGCAAGCCUGAUCCAGCCAUACCGCGUGGGUGAAGAAGGCCUUCGGGUUGUAAAGCCCUUUUGUUGGGAAAGAAAAGCAGCAGGUUAAUACCCCGCUGUUCUGACGGUACCCAAAGAAUAAGCACCGGCUAACUUCGUG
rnacentral:rRNA from 1 species